CACGCCGUAAACGAUGGAUGCUAGCCGUUGGAUAGCUUGCUAUUCGGUGGCGCAGCUAACGCAUUAAGCAUCCCGCCUGGGGAGUACGGCCGCAAGGUUAAAACUCAAAGGAAUUGACGGGGGCCCGCACAAGCGGUGGAGCAUGUGGUUUAAUUCGACGCAACGCGAAGAACCUUACCAGCUCUUGACAUUUCCAGAUCGCCCUCAGAGAUGAGGGAGUCCUAGCAAUAGGCUGGAGGACAGGUGC
rnacentral:rRNA from 1 species